rnacentral:rRNA from 1 species
GAUGAACGCUGGCGGCGUGCCUAAUACAUGCAAGUCGAGCGAACGGACGAGAAGCUUGCUUCUCUGAUGUUAGCGGCGGACGGGUGAGUAACACGUGGAUAACCUACCUAUAAGACUGGGAUAACUUCGGGAAACCGGAGCUAAUACCGGAUAAUAUUUUGAACCGCAUGGUUCAAAAGUGAAAGACGGUCUUGCUGUCACUUAUAGAUGGAUCCGCGCUGCAUUAGCUAGUUGGUAAGGUAACGGCUUACCAAGGCAACGAUGCAUAGCCGACCUGAGAGGGUGAUCGGCCACACUGGAACUGAGACACGGUCCAGACUCCUACGGGAGGCAGCAGUAGGGAAUCUUCCGCAAUGGGCGAAAGCCUGACGGAGCAACGCCGCGUGAGUGAUGAAGGUCUUCGGAUCGUAAAACUCUGUUAUUAGGGAAGAACAUAUGUGUAAGUAACUGUGCACAUCUUGACGGUACCUAAUCAGAAAGCCACGGCUAACUACGUGCCAGCAGCCGCGGUAAUACGUAGGUGGCAAGCGUUAUCCGGAAUUAUUGGGCGUAAAGCGCGCGUAGGCGGUUUUUUAAGUCUGAUGUGAAAGCCCACGGCUCAACCGUGGAGGGUCAUUGGAAACUGGAAAACUUGAGUGCAGAAGAGGAAAGUGGAAUUCCAUGUGUAGCGGUGAAAUGCGCAGAGAUAUGGAGGAACACCAGUGGCGAAGGCGACUUUCUGGUCUGUAACUGACGCUGAUGUGCGAAAGCGUGGGGAUCAAACAGGAUUAGAUACCCUGGUAGUCCACGCCGUAAACGAUGAGUGCUAAGUGUUAGGGGGUUUCCGCCCCUUAGUGCUGCAGCUAACGCAUUAAGCACUCCGCCUGGGGAGUACGACCGCAAGGUUGAAACUCAAAGGAAUUGACGGGGACCCGCACAAGCGGUGGAGCAUGUGGUUUAAUUCGAAGCAACGCGAAGAACCUUACCAAAUCUUGACAUCCUUUGACAACUCUAGAGAUAGAGCCUUCCCCUUCGGGGGACAAAGUGACAGGUGGUGCAUGGUUGUCGUCAGCUCGUGUCGUGAGAUGUUGGGUUAAGUCCCGCAACGAGCGCAACCCUUAAGCUUAGUUGCCAUCAUUAAGUUGGGCACUCUAAGUUGACUGCCGGUGACAAACCGGAGGAAGGUGGGGAUGACGUCAAAUCAUCAUGCCCCUUAUGAUUUGGGCUACACACGUGCUACAAUGGACAAUACAAAGGGCAGCGAAACCGCGAGGUCAAGCAAAUCCCAUAAAGUUGUUCUCAGCUCGGAUUGUAGUCUGCAACUCGACUACAUGAAGCUGGAAUCGCUAGUAAUCGUAGAUCAGCAUGCUACGGUGAAUACGUUCUCGGGUCU